rnacentral:rRNA from 1 species
CCUACGGGUGGCAGCAGUGGGGAAUAUUGCACAAUGGGGGAAACCCUGAUGCAGCGACGCCGCGUGAGUGAAGAAGUAUUUCGGUAUGUAAAGCUCUAUCAGCAGGGAAGAAAAUGACGGUACAUGAGUAAGAAGCCCCGGCUAACGACGAGCCAGCAGCCGCGGUAAUACGUAGGGGGCAAGCGUUAUCCGGAUUUACUGGGUGUAAAGGGAGCGUAGGCGGACGAUCAAGUCAGCGGUAAAAUUGAGAGGCUCAACCUCUUCGAGCCGUUGAAACUGGUUUUCUUGAGUGGGUGAGAAGUCUGCGGACUGCGUGGUGUCGCGGUGAAAUGCAUAGAUAUCACGCAGAACUCCGAUUGCGCAGGCAGCAUACCGGCGCUCAACUGACGCUCAUGCACGACAGUGUGGGUAUCGAACAGGAUUAGAUACCCGAGUAGUC